UACGUAGGGGCCGAGCGUUGUCCGGAGUUAUUGGGCGUAAAGCGCGCGCAGGCGGCCUCGCGCGCCCGACGUGAAAGCCCCCGGCUUAACCGGGGAGGGUCGUUGGGGACGGCGGGGCUUGAGGGCGGGAGAGGGCGGUGGAAUUCCCGGUGUAGUGGUGAAAUGCGUAGAGAUCGGCAGGAACACCCAGGGGGAAACCAGCCGACUGGGCAUCUGCUGACGCCGAGGUGCGAGAGCGUGGGGAGCGAACCGG
rnacentral:rRNA from 1 species